AAUUACAGAAUAGUAUUACCUUGACUUCGACACAUGUGGUCAAAGAGGAAUAAUGUGACACAAAGAAAAACACUAGACAAACAAACAGGCAGGUUAGAAACUGCAACAAUGAGAGAAGAUGAAGCAUUCCCGUUGCAGUUACUGGUGUAUGUAAUGUAUUCACACACUUAAAGGAAGCUUUAACUCGAAGAAUAUCUCAACCUAUACGAUAAGCAGCUGCUGCGGCGGGCACAAGCAUGUGUUUCCCAUCCUCGCUCCGAUAGGUGAUAAAUGAUUAAUUGUGUAUUUUCCAUCUACAAUCCCCUCUAGGCCGGAGUUGUCAGAGGUGUGCGGGGUUAAAGGAAGAACGGUGAGAGUUCAGACCUCUGAGCAGCAGCCACAUCCGUUGCCUGCUGGUACGGGCCUGUCAGGGUCUCUUUGGGGUUCUGGAAGCUAAUCUCUCUACUGCAACAACAAACCGUCAUUGGGGACGGCUAUGAUACUCCCGCCGUACGGAGAAGAACCCCCUAUUCCAUAUUUAUUGAGAUGUCUUCACUGUCAUCAGGUGAUUCCAGGUCCUAACUGACUGAACUAACCAGGGGAAAGAAGUCCAGGAUUAGGGUUAAGUUCCAAAACCAUAAACUGAUCAGAUCAAUCAGCGACUGACAGGUCAUAGGAUUAACUUGUGUAAAACCAGGAGCACAAAAACUCAAAAAGACGAUGAUAUAACACAUUAAACACUUAAAUCUUACUUUAAAAGUCUGUUAAUU